rnacentral:rRNA from 1 species
CCAAAAGCUGGCGACCGGCGCACGGGUGAGUAACACGUAUCCAACCUGCCUCAUACUCGGGGAUAGCCUUUCGAGAGAAAGAUUAAUAUCCGAUAGCAUAUAUUUCCCGCAUGGGUUUUAUAUUAAAGAAAUUCGGUAUGAGAUGGGGAUGCGUUCCAUUAGUUUGUUGGGGGGUAACGGCCCACCAAGACUACGAUGGAUAGGGGUUCUGAGAGGAAGGUCCCCCACAUUGGAACUGAGACACGGUCCAA